UGAUGGCCUUGAGGUAGAAAAUGUUUUUCAGUCUCUCUGUCCCAGCUUUGAUGUUAUUGUACUGUCUCCUCCUUCUAGAUGGUAGAGGGGUGAACAGGCCGUGGCUCGGGUGGCUGAGGUCCUUGAUGAUCUUCUAGAUGGUAGCAGGGUGAACAGGCCGUGGCUCGGGUGGCUGAGGUCCUUGAUGAUCUUCUAGAUGGUAGAGGGGUGAACAGACUGUGGCUCGGGGUGGCUGAGGUCCUUGAUGAUCUUCUAGAUGGUAGAGGGGUGAACAGGCUGUGGCUCGGGGUGGCUGAGGUCCUUGAUGAUCUUCUAGAUGGUAGCGGGGUGAACAGGCUGUGGCUCGGGGUGGCUGAGGUCCUUGAUGAUCUUCUAGAUGGUAGCGGGGUGAACAGGCUGUGGCUCGGGGUGGCUGAGGUCCUUGAUGAUCUUCUAGAUGGUAGCGGGGUGAACAGGCUGUGGCUCGGGGUGGCUGAGGUCCUUGAUGAUCUUCUAGAUGGUAGAGGGGUGAACAGGCCGUGGCUCGGGUGGCUGAGGUCCUUGAUGAUCUUCUAGAUGGUAGCAGGGUGAACAGGCCGUGGCUCGGGGUGGCUGAGGUCAUUGAUGAUCUUGAUUUUGUGCCUUGCGAACUCCGCCUCCAGCAAGAGAUCAACCUCUGACAGUGUGCCAGAAGAAACGGGAGGAUGGAGCCAAAAGAAAUGGACGGUGAGUGGAUCUAAACUCAUGGAGCUUUUCCAAACCUGCCAGCAGGUGGAGCUGUCGUGACUGAUAGAAGAACCACCACUUGCUGUUUAACCUGUCAAGGUAUAGGGGGCAGUAUUUUCGAUUUCGGAUGAAAAG
rnacentral:lncRNA from 1 species